AGUGAACGCUGGCGGUAGGCCUAACACAUGCAAGUCGAACGGCAGCACAGUAAGCGCUUGCUCUUACGGGUGGCGAGUGGCGGACGGGUGAGGCAUACAUCGGAAUCUACUUUUUCGUGGGGGAUAACGUAGGGAAACUUACGCUAAUACCGCAUACGACCUACGGGAGAGAGCAGGGGAUAUUCGGACCUUGCGCGACUGAAUGAGCCGAUGUCGGAUUAGCUAGUUGGCGGGGUAAAGGCCCACCAAGGCGACGAUCCGUAGCUGGUCUGAGAGGAUGAUCAGCCACACUGGAACUGAGACACGGUCCAGACUCCUACGGGAGGCAGCAGUGGGGAAUAUUGCACAAUGGGCGCAAGCCUGAUCCAGCCAUACCGCGUGGGUGAAGAAGGCCUUCGGGUUGUAAAGCCCUUUUGUUGGGAAAGAAAAGCAGCAGGUUAAUAUCCCGCUGUUCUGACGGUACCCAAAGAAUAAGCACCGGCUAACUUCGUG
rnacentral:rRNA from 1 species